rnacentral:rRNA from 1 species
GACGAACGCUGGCGGCGUGCUUAACACAUGCAAGUCGAACGGAAAGGCCCUGCUUUUGUGGGGUUCUCGAGUGGCGAACGGGUGAGUAACACGUGAGUAACCUGCCCUUGACUUUGGGAUAACUUCAGGAAACUGGGGCUAAUACCGGAUAGGAGCUCCUGCUGCAUGGUGGGGGUUGGAAAGUUUCGGCGGUUGGGGAUGGACUCGCGGCUUAUCAGCUUGUUGGUGGGGUAGUGGCUUACCAAGGCUUUGACGGGUAGCCGGCCUGAGAGGGUGACCGGCCACAUUGGGACUGAGAUACGGCCCAGACUCCUACGGGAGGCAGCAGUGGGGAAUAUUGCACAAUGGGCGGAAGCCUGAUGCAGCAACGCCGCGUGCGGGAUGACGGCCUUCGGGUUGUAAACCGCUUUCGCCUGUGACGAAGCGUGAGUGACGGUAAUGGGUAAAGAAGCAACGGCUAACUACGUG